rfam:Lichtheimia corymbifera JMRC:FST:9682, FST 9682, WGS project CBTN01000000 data, contig: SCAF00038
GCCCCUAUGGCCCAAUUGGACUAAGGCGCCGGUCUUCUAAACCGGCGAUUCUGGGUUCGAGUCCCAGUAGGGGCU